rnacentral:rRNA from 1 species
GGAGGAAAAGAAACUAACAAGGAUUCCCCUAGUAACUGCGAGUGAAGCGGGAAAAGCUCAAAUUUGAAAUCUGGCGGUCCUUGGCCGUCCGAGUUGUAAUCUAGAGAAGUGUUACCCGCGCUGGACCGUGUACAAGUCUCCUGGAAUGGAGCGUCAUAGAGGGUGAGAAUCCCGUCUCUGACACGGACUACCAGGGCUUUGUGGUAUGCUCUCAAAGAGUCGAGUUGUUUGGGAAUGCAGCUCAAAAUGGGUGGUAAAUUCCAUCUAAAGCUAAAUAUUGGCGAGAGACCGAUAGCGAACAAGUACCGUGAGGGAAAGAUGAAAAGAACUUUGGAAAGAGAGUUAAACAGUACGUGAAAUUGCUGAAAGGGAAACGCUUGAAGUCAGUCACGUCGGCUGGGGAUCAGCCUCGCAUUUGCGUGGUGUACUUUCCGGUUGACGGGUCAGCAUCAAUUUUGACCGCUGGAAAAAGGCUUUGGGAAUGUGGCAGCUUUUGCUGUGUUAUAGCCCUUUGUCACAUACAGCGGUUGAGAUUGAGGAACUCAGCACGCCGCAAGGCCGGGUUUCGACCACGUUCGUGCUUAGGAUGCUGGCAUAAUGGCUUUAAGCGACCCGUCUUGAAACACGGACCAAGGAGUCUAACAUGCCUGCGAGUGUUUGGGUGGAAAACCCGAGCGCGUAAUGAAAGUGAAAGUUGAGAUCCCUGUCGUGGGGAGCAUCGACGCCCGGACCAGAACUUUUGGGACGGAUCCGCGGUAGAGCAUGUAUGUUGGGACCCGAAAGAUGGUGAACUAUGCCUGAAUAGGGUGAAGCCAGAGGAAACUCUGGUGGAGGCUCGUAGCGAUUCUGACGUGCAAAUCGAUCGUCAAAUUUGGGUAUAGGGGCGAAAGACUAAUCGAACCAUCUAGUAGCUGGUUCC